CACAAGAUUUACAGUAACUGUUGGUCAGAGAGGCAAUUCCUGGUACUUCAGAGUAUUUAUUGAUCAAAAGAGUUCAUGAGGGUUCUGGACAGAUGCUCCGUAGGCCCACUGGACCACUGCUGAGUAUAUGUUCUUGGGCAAGCAGAACUUGAGAUUGUUGAAGUACAGCCUGUCUUUAAGAGUUGCCCCUUUCUGUUUCCAGCUUGUGGUUUGUUUGUUUUUUUUCUUUCUUUCCAGGGUCAGUAGCUUGCUUGUUAUUCCUUCGGGAGCUUGAUGUCUGUGGGUAGGAUCUUACAUGGUGAAUAUGGGAGUUUCUUCAGCAGACACUUUUCUGUCCACUUCCCUUAGUGCACUUACAACUUUUUGAACAACUUAGUCAGCCAGAGAGCUGCCACAUGCUUCCUCUGAGUUCAGUCUUCCUUCAGAGAUCUUGCAUGGUGUGAUGGGAGUCUAUAGCUCAGCUUCUUGUGCAGACAUUGUUGAGGUGAGAUACUUGGUCCACUGUAGUGACAGCAAAUCCGGAACAGAACAUAAGAAAAAGGCUAAAAAAAAGAUAAUAGUCAGUGUCUUAUCAUUUCCCCCCUUGGGAAGUGGCAGAAGAGUGGCCAGGUAAAUAGAGUAUCAUCCCUGCAGGGUGACAUUAUCCUGCACAGAAUUCGUCCAUCACAAGGAGAGGUGGGAUAUUGCAUGGAAAGUCUCAGGUAACCAGGGCAACAUUCGACACCAGAGCCUUAACCUGUUAGGGAAUAGUAAGAG